rnacentral:tRNA from 1 species
AGGGGAUAAGUGUUACGGUAGCACGGCUGGCUCCAACCCAGUAAGAGAGGGUUCAAUUCCUUCAUCCUCUGCCA